AAAUCUGAGCCACAGCUGUCGGCCUAUACCACAGGCACAGCAAUGCGGGAUCUGAGCCACCUCUGUGACCUACACCACAGCUCACGGCAAUGCCGGAUCCUUAACCCACUGAGCGAGGCCGGGGAUGGAACCCAGAUCCUCAUGGAUCCUAGUCAGGGUCGUUAACUGCGGAGCCAUGGAGGGAACGCCCUAGAGUCUUUUCUUGAGCAGGAGCAGGAGAGGAGCACAAAGGCUGAGCCUCAUUCGUGAUUACGUAUCAAGCGCUGCAUUUGCUCGGCUCCUUCCACGUGGUUAAUGCUCAGUACCUUGCUCAAAUGAAUGAGUUUUCAUUGACUUAGGAAUUCCAGAAGUUUAACAGCAAAGAUGGGGAAAGCGCAGAUAAAGCAGAAGAUAACAGAGAGAAGAGAGGAACAGAGUUGGAGGAGAGGCAGUGGGAGAAAGACGGAGGGCAAAGGGGCGAAGCCAGGACGUGGUCGUGGGCGCACCCGGUUUAAGGGCCAAGUAAUUCUUGCCAGAAGACUCGAGCUUGAGUCCGUCUACGCCACCGCCUGGUCCUCGCCCUCCUCCCAGUCUCUGCUUUUGAGGAAGAAGGACUCCCUGGUCCAAGGACAGUCGUUCCAUGAUGCUGGCUGAGGAAGGCUUGUUGGCGUCAGGGGCUAGGGGACUGUGCUUCAUGAGGCAAGAUCAAAAUCAAUUCUGAAAUUUCCUUCUUCUAUUUUUGAUCCGGCGACUUCUGUUUUAACAUUGCAACCAAAAUUGCUCCCCUGGGGUGCUUCCUUUGAUGAAGACAACCAACAAACAGCAAAGUAUUCUUUGUCUGCAGUGACCGAACCAAAUAAUAAUACAGCCGGACCUGUCUGAGCUCCUGGAAAAGGACGGGUCGGGUGUGGCAGAGAAAACCUCGGAUGCUGGCACAGGGACUCCAUGCAAAUCGUUCUCCUAAAUCCUCUUAUGUGACUGUCUCAUGAAGUAUGUUCACAGGCGCCCUCUAGAGUCUCAUCCUAUUGGUACCAUCGCUUUUAUUUUAGAUCGACAGGUGCCUGCAUCCCAUCCUCUCUCAGAGGUGGACACUGUGGUGGUUCCCCUCAGCCGCUACCAUCUGGGAGGCCGGCUGCAGUUGAAUUGUCUCUAUUUUAAGAGCCACCUCCGUGUCACAGGGCUGCGAGCCCCCACCCCACCCUCCUGUGAGGGGCCGGAUGGUCCGGUCUGGUCACAUCUGGGGAACGUGCUGCAUUAAGAGCUCUCUGUGUUGCAUGAUUAUCCACAGAAUUCGCCACGUAGCCUCGUGCGAUCCAAGAAACAGCAGUCCUGGCUGCAGGCCCGGCCGAAGCCGUCCCUUCAUCAGCUCUGCUUCGUUCAGGGGCUGGUCCGGGGCCUUCCUCUGAGUGCCCCUGCCGCAGCAGACUCAGUAUCUGAAAGCUCGCACGUUCGGGGACUCAGCAAAGGCCACUUUCCCCAGGUCAUCACGCAGGAGUCCCGGCGCUUCCCUGUCCCGAGACAAGGACAGCAUUGACCCCUGCGGUCCUUUGUGACCUGGGAGUGAAGGACGCAGGUCGCUGAGCUGAGCGCACAGGCUCAGGGAGACAGCGCAACAGCAGCCACUUUGCAGGCAGCCGCUCUGGUCCAAAGUGCCAGGACACAGCCAGCGAAAAGAGAAGCAGGUCCCCCACCCCCACAGGCGGAGGAAUAAGGAGCGGCUUGGACUUUGGGGCCUUUUGCAGAAAAGCUCCAGCAGCUUCCUGCUGCAGAACUCGCUGCCCUCAGGCCCAGACUUUGAACAGCAGGGACUGCCUGAAGCCCCUCCAGUGCUGGGCUCAGGGAGGCACAGAUGUCCCCCGGGUUAGGCCCUAAGCUCAGAAGAGAGCCCUGGGAGAAGACCAGGCUGGGCACAGGCCAGUUUGUGUCUUCAGUCUGCAGGUUUAAUUUGAUACAGAGACAUCUAUGGACACUUAGAGAUGACAGGGUGGGGACAGCGUGUUUCCUCGGGUCCCCAAGCGCAGUGAAGAAAACCAGCCCAUUCAAACACAAUACCAGAGAGAGGCACUUGCUUAUAAACAAGACAGGCCUUGUGUGGAUGUUGCUUAAACAAUUUCCAUUCUGUGAAAAUGUUCUCCACUGACACAAAAGGACAAAUGCCCCCAAUCGCCAGGCCCGCAUCUCUACAGAAUCCAGGAUUCUGUUGCUGGAGGCAGAGGGGCCUGCCCAUCUCACACGCCAUGAGAGGGACCAGGGAGAAAAGCAGGGGCGAGUGUCAUCCCCAUCAAAAUCCUGGCUGGGUGUUUUCAUGUGUUGAUUUCUAAUUUUAUGUAAAAAUGCAGAAGAUGUAGAAAAGCCAGAACAGUUUUGAAAAAGAAGUUGGAAGAUGUACACAACUUGACUUCAAGAUACAAUUUGAGAUGGAUCACAGACCUCAGGGGAAAGUCAUAACCAAAAACCUUGCAAGAGGAAACAGCAGAAUAUCUUCACAGCCUUGGGACAGAAGAGAAUUCUUGGACAGAACACAAAAAGCACGAACCGUAAAAGGAAAAUUAUUCAGUUAGGCUUGAUCGAAAUUGGAGCUGUCCACCAAUCCAAACACCACUUAAAAGCUAAAAGAUAAAGCCACCAGCCAAGGCGGAGAGAAAAUAUUUGCAAAACACUUAGCUAACAAAGAACUUGCACAGACUAUAAAAAGAAUCCCCAGACAUCAACAAAAAGCCCAAUUUUUAAAAAUAGGCAAAAGCCUUGAACAGAUACUUCAGAAAAGAACCUCAGCACUUUACUGAUCAACUCGUGAAGAAGUGCUCAGUAUCUUCGAGCAACAGAGAAAAAUGCACGUUGAAAUCGCAGAGAUGUCAUUUCACAAAAAUGGUAACACUAAUGAACAGAACACAGUGGCUACAGUAAAAGUCUCGUCAUACCAAACACUGACGAGGCUGUAACUCAGCUGCAACCCCGUGCGUGGCUGCUGCGCGUCUAAAAUGUACCGGCCACUUUGAAGGUAUGUCUGGCACCUGAUUAAAUUUACGUCUUACCCUUUGACCAAACAGUUCCACUCAGGCAUUUAUCCAAGAGAAAGCGCGUUCACAAAAGAUUCAAACGUUAGCAGCCCAGUUCAUAAUAGCCCCCAGUGGGAACCAACCUAAAUGUCUAUAAACAGUGAUGCGGCUAAACAAAUGAUUGCAUGUUCCCACAGGAGAAUAUUUCUCACAACAUAGAAGAGAACAAACCACCGGUACAUGCAAUACCAUGGACACAUCUCAAAGACGGAAGCCAGACAGAGAAGAGAAUCUACAACGUAAUUCCACUUGAAAUCCAGACCAAACUAAUCUAUGGUGAUAGAAAUAAAAAGGUGGCCAGCUGGGGAGAUGGCAGGGAGACUCCCCGGAAAGUAACCCCAAGGAACUUUCUGGGGUGCUAAGAAAUGUUUGCUGUCUUUUCCCAGAUGGUAUUUACACAGGCCUAUACAAUUAUCAGACUCAUCAAACUGAACACCUAAAGUCUCUGCUACUGUAUGUUUAUUACACCUAAAUUAACCGGGAACCACCAAAGCGGCAACAAGUGGCCCCCCUCACUGUUAAAGAGGGGCUUUUUCUUCAUCACAGGGGAGGCUGGACUGGGUGGUCCUUGGGUUUCCUCCAGAGUCUCUGAAACCAGAACUGAACAUAAACUCUUGAGCUGCUGGCACUGUGGUAGGAUUGACUCUGGGAACUUCUGGGAGUUAAGGGCUUGCUCCGUGUCAAAAAGAGCUGGGUCACCAUCUCGUGGGCUGCCUCAGUCUCCCCCUUUUCCCACUCUAAACCCGUGGACAUGUUUUCUCAUUUCCUUCUGACACCCUCCACCUUACCGACCAGGAAUCCGGCUCUGGAAGGCUGGGCAGCACGCUCGGCCUCGGCCCCACGUCCAGACGUCCCGUCCCCUGCUUUUAAUUGGAGCCACACCAGCACCGGGAAUGCCCUCCCCUUGCAGUGUCUCCCAAACCCAGCCUCCAGUGCGUGCCUCCAACGAGCAAAGCCUAAGCCACAUCUGAAUCUCUGGCCGAAGUUUAUUUGGGACAGUGGGCAUUUUCAAUAUUCAGCAGUUUUUCACUUUCCAGCCUCUGCCACCUAGGAUGUCAUCUUAAAAAAAAAAAAAAAAAAAAAUGGAAUAGACACCCAGCAAACCAAUCAGAAUCGCAUCAUGUAUGCUUCUCCUUUGGCCAUUUUUUUCUGAACCCUCUUCUAAUUCUUAGUU
rnacentral:lncRNA from 1 species